rnacentral:lncRNA from 10 species
AGCCUGAUGGAAGUCUGGAGAUAACAGGACUCCCAACCAGCAGGUGUGAAACCUGAAAUUAGUGAUUUGCCAAAGGAAAUGAUGAGCUGUGAUCCCAGGUUUCAUCUCAAGUAUAAAGUAAUGAAGUGAGAAGAUUGAUGUUGAAAGGGACCUUGGAGGGCAUUUUAAUAUCUACCUUUUGAAAUGAAAAACAAAAUAAAACAAGAGAUUCUAUAAUAAUUCAAUGCCAACUGAAUGCAAUACACUCUUUCAGAUGUUGCAAAGAAAG